rnacentral:rRNA from 1 species
GAUGAACUCUGGCGGCGUGCCUAAUACAUGCAAGUCGAGCGAACGGACGAGAAGCUUGCUUCUCUGAUGUUAGCGGCGGACGGGUGAGUAACACGUGGAUAACCUACCUAUAAGACUGGGAUAACUUCGGGAAACCGGAGCUAAUACCGGAUAAUAUUUUGAACCGCAUGGUUCAAAAGUGAAAGACGGUCUUGCUGUCACUUAUAGAUGGAUCCGCGCUGCAUUAGCUAGUUGGUAAGGUAACGGCUUACCAAGGCAACGAUGCAUAGCCGACCUGAGAGGGUGAUCGGCCACACUGGAACUGAGACACGGUCCAGACUCCUACGGGAGGCAGCAGUAGGGAAUCUUCCGCAAUGGGCGAAAGCCUGACGGAGCAACGCCGCGUGAGUGGUGAAGGUUUUCGGAUCGUAAAACUCUGUUAUUAGGGAAGAACAUAUGUGUAAGUAACUGUGCACAUCUUGACGGUACCUAAUCAGAAAGCCACGGCUAACUACGUG